AGUAGCCGAAGAUCACACUAGGAUUUAGCGUGGGAUUGGUAAUUACCCGCACAUCGCCACCGCCAGGAGCCCAUGUGUCGUACAAGCCACCAAAAGCCAUUGCUUUAGCUACCAACAGCAGAGCGCCACAUCCCAAAAUAAUCAGGUGGUAGCCCAGGAUGUUGGUCAUCUGGUUCUUGUCUUUCCA
rnacentral:antisense_RNA from 1 species